rnacentral:rRNA from 1 species
UACGUAGGGUGCGAGCGUUGUCCUGAAUUAUUGGGCGUAAAGAGCUUGUAGGCGGUUUGUCGCGUCUGCUGUGAAAAUCCGGGGCUCAACCCCGGACUUGCAGUGGGUACGGGCAGACUAGAGUGUGGUAGGGGAGACUGGAAUUCCUGGUGUAGCGGUGAAAUGCGCAGAUAUCAGGAGGAACACCGAUGGCGAAGGCAGGUCUCUGGGCCACUACUGACGCUGAGAAGCGAAAGCAUGGGGAGCGAACAGGAUUAGAUA